rnacentral:SRP_RNA from 1 species
AUCACUCCGAAGCAAGCCCCUUGAUCCUGAAUCAAGAAGUAUACAGCCCAGGAGUUCUGGGCUGUAGUGCACUAUGACGAUCGGGUGUCUGCACUGAGUUCGGCAUCAAUAUGGUGACCUCCCGGGAGCGGGGGACCAUCAGGUUGCCUAAGGAGGGGUGAAUCAGCCCAGGUCGGAAAUGGAGCAGGUCAAAACUCCCGUGCUGAUCAGUAGUGGGAUCGUGCCUGUGAAUAGCCACUGCACUCCAGCCUGGGCAACAUGGCAAGACCCUGUCUCU